AACGCUGGCGGCGUGCCUAAUACAUGCAAGUCGAGCGGAUCUUCAUUAGCUUGCUUUUGAAGAUCAGCGGCGGACGGGUGAGUAACACGUGGGCAACCUGCCUGUAAGACUGGGAUAACUUCGGGAAACCGGAGCUAAUACCGGAUAAUCCUUUCCCUCACAUGAGGGAAAGCUGAAAGACGGUUUCGGCUGUCACUUACAGAUGGGCCCGCGGCGCAUUAGCUAGUUGGUGAGGUAACGGCUCACCAAGGCAACGAUGCGUAGCCGACCUGAGAGGGUGAUCGGCCACACUGGGACUGAGACACGGCCCAGACUCCUACGGGAGGCAGCAGUAGGGAAUCUUCCGCAAUGGACGAAAGUCUGACGGAGCAACGCCGCGUGAGCGAUGAAGGCCUUCGGGUCGUAAAGCUCUGUUGUCAGGGAAGAACAAGUACCGGAGUAACUGCCGGUACCUUGACGGUACCUGACCAGAAAGCCACGGCUAACUACGUGCCAGCAGCCGCGGUAAUACGUAGGUGGCAAGCGUUGUCCGGAAUUAUUGGGCGUAAAGCGCGCGCAGGCGGUUCCUUAAGUCUGAUGUGAAAGCCCCCGGCUCAACCGGGGAGGGUCAUUGGAAACUGGGGAACUUGAGUGCAGAAGAGGAGAGCGGA
rnacentral:rRNA from 1 species